rnacentral:rRNA from 1 species
UACGGAAGGGGCAAGCGUUGUUCGGAAUCAUUGGGCGUAAAGGGCGCGUAGGUGGUUCUGUAUGUCUACCGUGAAAGCGUACGGCUCAACCGUAUUUUGUCGGUGGAAACUGCAGGACUUGAGGCUGGGAGGGGCUGGUGGAAUUCCCUGUGUAGCGGUGAAAUGCGCAGAUAUCAGGAGGAACACCGGUGGCGAAGGCGGGUCUCUGGGCCGAAAUUGACGCUGAGGAGCGAAAGCGUGGGGAGCAAACAGG